rnacentral:misc_RNA from 1 species
GUGAAAGCUUAAUCUUGUGAUCUGUUUUGCAACAAUGCUUUAUUUAUUUUUUCAUGUGUAUGGUAAAUCCUUGAUAAUUUGAUUCUGGUGUAUGCCUUUAUUAUUGCAUUUGAAUUGAUUUUUCCUUUUGUCAUGUUUUAUUUUUAUUGGUGCUCUAUCAUUUCAGAUCCAAAUUGAUGUCACUUACAGUUAUUUCUCUCUGAUUGUG